rnacentral:rRNA from 1 species
UGGGGAAUAUUGCACAAUGGGCGCAAGCCUGAUGCAGCCAUGCCGCGUGUAUGAAGAAGGCCUUCGGGUUGUAAAGUACUUUCAGCGGGGAGGAAGGCGAUAAGGUCAAUAACCUUGUCGAUUGACGUUACCCGCAGAAGAAGCACCGGCUAACUCCGUGCCAGCAGCCGCGGUAAUACGGAGGGUGCAAGCGUUAAUCGGAAUUACUGGGCGUAAAGCGCACGCAGGCGGUCUGUCAAGUCGGAUGUGAAAUCCCCGGGCUCAACCUGGGAACUGCAUUCGAAACUGGCAGGCUAGAGUCUUGUAGAGGGGGGUAGAAUUCCAGGUGUAGCGGUGAAAUGCGUAGAGAUCUGGAGGAAUACCGGUGGCGAAGGCGGCCCCCUGGACAAAGACUGACGCUCAGGUGCGAAAGCGUGGGGAGCAAACA